rnacentral:rRNA from 1 species
GACGAACGCUGUCGGCGUGCUUAACACAUGCAAGUCGAACGGAAAGGCCCUGCUUUUGUGGGGUGCUCGAGUGGCGAACGGGUGAGUAACACGUGAGUAACCUGCCCUUGACUUUGGGAUAACUUCAGGAAACUGGGGCUAAUACCGGAUAGGAGCUCCUGCUGCAUGGUGGGGGUUGGAAAGUUUCGGCGGUUGGGGAUGGACUCGCGGCUUAUCAGCUUGUUGGUGGGGUAGUGGCUUACCAAGGCUUUGACGGGUAGCCGGCCUGAGAGGGUGACCGGCCACAUUGGGACUGAGAUACGGCCCAGACUCCUACGGGAGGCAGCAGUGGGGAAUAUUGCACAAUGGGCGGAAGCCUGAUGCAGCAACGCCGCGUGCGGGAUGACGGCCUUCGGGUUGUAAACCGCUUUCGCCUGUGACGAAGCGUGAGUGACGGUAAUGGGUAAAGAAGCACCGGCUAACUACGUGCCAGCAGCCGCGGUGAUACGUAGGGUGCGAGCGUUGUCCGGAUUUAUUGGGCGUAAAGGGCUCGUAGGUGGUUGAUCGCGUCGGAAGUGUAAUCUUGGGGCUUAACCCUGAGCGUGCUUUCGAUACGGGUUGACUUGAGGAAGGUAGGGGAGAAUGGAAUUCCUGGUGGAGCGGUGGAAUGCGCAGAUAUCAGGAGGAACACCAGUGGCGAAGGCGGUUCUCUGGGCCUUUCCUGACGCUGAGGAGCGAAAGCGUGGGGAGCGAACAGGCUUAGAUACCCUGGUAGUCCACGCUGUAAACGGUGGGUACUAGGUGUGGGGUCCAUUCCACGGGUUCCGUGCCGUAGCUAACGCUUUAAGUACCCCGCCUGGGGAGUACGGCCGCAAGGCUAAAACUCAAAGGAAUUGACGGGGCCCCGCACAAGCGGCGGAGCAUGCGGAUUAAUUCGAUGCAACGCGUAGAACCUUACCUGGGUUUGACAUGGAUCGGGAGUGCUCAGAGAUGGGUGUGCCUCUUUUGGGGUCGGUUCACAGGUGGUGCAUGGCUGUCGUCAGCUUGUGUCGUGAGAUGUUGGGUUAAGUCCCGCAACGAGCGCAACCCUUGUUCACUGUUGCCAGCACGUUAUGGUGGGGACUCAGUGGAGACCGCCGGGGUCAACUCGGAGGAAGGUGGGGAUGACGUCAAGUCAUCGUGCCCCUUAUGUCCAGGGCUUCACGCAUGCUACAAUGGCUGGUACAGAGAGUGGCGAGCCUGUGAGGGUGAGCGAAUCUCGGAAAGCCGGUCUCAGUUCGGAUUGGGGUCUGCAACUCGACCUCAUGAAGUCGGAGUCGCUAGUAAUCGCAGAUCAGCAACGCUGCGGUGAAUACGUUCCCGGG